rnacentral:misc_RNA from 1 species
GCUUGUGCAUCGAACGGUUGGCAUGCUGUCUUUAUUAUCAUCAUAUGCUCAUAGCAUUUUGGUCUUCCUCUUGGGUUCCUGUGUUGCCUACUGUUCAAAUAGUAUUAUUGUGGCUUAGAAUAUAUGUUCCAUUUAGAUCCCUUUGUGGGGAUGGUGGUGGAUUUUGAUGCAAUGCAUGCAUUCCAUCUUAGGCUUGUAUUGUGCAGCUUUUGUGGUAUGCAUGUAGUUGUUGUCCUUUUGGAUGCGGUGCAUGCAAUGAAUGUGGCUUGAAUUGUCCCGUUUAGUUCUUCAAAUUGUGGUUGCCUUGAAAGACUUUUGCCUGGGUGCUUGUUUUAUUUUUCGUUCAAGAAGAUAAUGCUUGUACCUUGAGCUUGGUCAUCGAUGGAUGC